CAGCACCGCGGUAAUACGAAGGGUGCAAGCGUUACUCGGAAUUACUGGGCGUAAAGCGUGCGUAGGUGGUGGUUUAAGUCCGUUGUGAAAGCCCUGGGCUCAACCUGGGAAUUGCAGUGGAUACUGGGUCACUAGAGUGUGGUAGAGGAUAGUGGAAUUUCCGGUGUAGCAGUGAAAUGCGUAGAGAUCGGAAGGAACAUCUGUGGCGAAGGCGACUAUCUGGGCCAACACUGACACUGAGGCACGAAAGCGUGGGGAGCAAACAGGAUUAGAUACCCCUGUAGUCCCUGUCUCUUAUACA
rnacentral:rRNA from 1 species